rnacentral:rRNA from 1 species
UACGGGGGGGGCAAGCGUUGUUCGGAAUUACUGGGCGUAAAGGGCUCGUAGGCGGCCAACUAAGUCGGAUGUGAAAUCCCCAGGCUCAACUUGGGAACUGCAUCCGAUACUGGAUGGCUUGAAUUCGGGAGAGGGAUGCAGAAUUCCAGGUGUAGCGGUGAAAUACGCAGAUAUCGGGAGGAACACCAGUGGCGAAGGCGGCUCACUGGACCGGUUCUGACGCUGAGGCGCGAAAGCGUGGGGAGCAAACGGG